rnacentral:rRNA from 1 species
UGGGGAAUUUUGGACAAUGGGCGAAAGCCUGAUCCAGCAAUGCCGCGUGUGUGAAGAAGGCCUUCGGGUUGUAAAGCACUUUUGUCCGGAAAGAAAUCCUUGGCUCUAAUACAGUCGGGGGAUGACGGUACCGGAAGAAUAAGCACCGGCUAACUACGUGCCAGCAGCCGCGGUAAUACGUAGGGUGCAAGCGUUAAUCGGAAUUACUGGGCGUAAAGCGUGCGCAGGCGGUUUGCUAAGACCGAUGUGAAAUCCCGGGCUCAACCUGGGAACUGCAUUGGUGACUGGCAGGCUAGAGUAUGGCAGAGGGGGGUAGAAUUCCACGUGUAGCAGUGAAAUGCGUAGAGAUGUGGAGGAAUACCGAUGGCGAAGGCAGCCCCCUGGGCCAAUACUGACGCUCAUGCACGAAAGCGUGGGGAGCAAACAGGAUUAGAUACCCUGGUAGUCCACGCCCUAAACGAUGUCAACUAGUUGUUGGGGAUUCAUUUCCUUAGUAACGUAGCUAACGCGUGAAGUUGACCGCCUGGGGAGUACGGUCGCAAGAUUAAAACUCAAAUGAAUUGACGGGGUCAUAGCUGUUUCC